UGCUAGUUGCACGAGUUUAGACUCGUAGCAUAUAGCUCAGUAACACGUGGCCAAACUACCCUACAGACCGCAAUAACCUCGGGAAACUGAGGCCAAUAGCGGAUAUAACUCUCAUGCUGGAGUGCAGAGAGUUAGAAACGUUCCGGCGCUGUAGGAUGUGGCUGCGGCCGAUUAGGUAGAUGGUGGGGUAACGGCCCACCAUGCCGAUAAUCGGUACGGGUUGUGAGAGCAAGAACCUGGAGACGGUAUCUGAGACAAGAUACCGGGCCCUACGGGGCGCAGCAGGCGCGAAACCUUUACACUGCACGACAGUGCGAUAGGGGGACUCCGAGUGUGAGGGCAUAUAGCCCUCGCUUUUCUGUACCGUAAGGUGGUUCACGAACAACGACUGGGCAAGACCGGUGCCAGCCGCCGCGGUAAUACCGGCAGUCCUAGUGAUGGUCGAUAUUAUUGGGACUAAAGCGUCCGUA
rnacentral:rRNA from 1 species